GUGAGGAAUAUUGCGCAAUGGGGGAAACCCUGACGCAGCAACGCCGCGUGGACGAUGAAGGCCCUCGGGUUGUAAAGUCCUUUUCUGAGGGGCGAUAGUGACGGUACCUCAGGAAUAAGUCCCGGCUAACUACGUGCCAGCAGCCGCGGUAAAACGUAGGGGGCUAGCGUUAUCCGGAUUUACUGGGCGUAAAGCGCACGUAGGCGGCAUUGUAAGUUGGGCGUGAAAGCUCUUGGCUUAACUGAGAGAGGUCGUUCAAUACUGCAAUGCUUGAGGUUGACAGAGGAGAGUGGAAUUCCCGGUGUAGUGGUGGAAUGCGUAGAUAUCGGGAGGAACACCAGUGGCGAAAGCGGCUCUCUGGGUCACACCUGACGCUGAGGUGCGAAAGCGUGGGGAGCGAACGGGAUUAGAUACCCGAGUAGUCC
rnacentral:rRNA from 1 species